UCGUUAGUUACUUUCAAGUUAAUGUCGAAGCAAUAGUGAACAAGUGUUAGGGGGGUCAUACAAAAUACGACCGCCUAGUGAUGGUACCGUCCCACAUCCUCCGAUUUGAGGAUGUGGGAAUGUGGAUGGCAUCACAUGUCAGGCGUAUUCAGACGAUCUUUUUCAACGCAUAAUGAGAACUUCUGUUACACACUUAACAUACACGGAUAACAUAAAUUUCAACACCUGUCUCUGAAAUGUUUGAUACAACCCACGAAUUGAGGAUUUGGGGGCCUGAGGAUUGCAAUACUUUUCCCUGAUAGUCGUGCAGAUAUAUCUUGAUACUGUUCAUGGGGCAAAUGGUACCAUACUGUAACUGUUCUGUUUUUUAUUAAAUAAUAUUAAAAAUGGUGCGUACAACA